UGGCGCCGUGGAAACAUCUACC
rnacentral:miRNA from 1 species